rnacentral:rRNA from 1 species
GAUGAACGCUGGCGGCGUGCCUAAUACAUGCAAGUCGAGCGAACGGACGAGAAGCUUGCUUCUCUGAUGUUAGCGGCGGACGGGUGAGUCACACGUGGAUAACCUACCUAUAAGACUGGGAUAACUUCGGGAAACCGGAGCUAAUACCGGAAGAUAUUUUGAACCUCAUGGUUCAAAAGUGAAAGACGGUCUUGCUGUCACUUAUAGAUGGAUCCGCGCUGCAUUAGCUACUUGGUAAGGUAAAGGCUUACCAAGGCAACGAUGGAUAGCCGACCUGAGAGCGUCGUCGGCCAGACGGGAACUGAGACACGGUCCAGACUCCGACGGUAGGAAGCAGUAGGGAAUCUUACGCAAUGGGGGAGAGCCUGACCGAGCGACGCCGGGUGAGGGAUGACGGUCUUCGGAUCGUAGAACUCUGUUAUUAGGGAAGAACAAAUAUGUAAGUAACUGUGCACAUCUUGACGGUACCUAAUCAGAAAGCCACGGCUAACUACGUG